rnacentral:rRNA from 1 species
GAUGAACGCUAGCUACAGGCUUAACACAUGCAAGUCGAGGGGCAGCAUGAACAAAGCUUGCUUUGUUUGAUGGCGACCGGCGCACGGGUGCGUAACACGUAUCCAAUCUGCCCGCGGCUCGGGGAUAGCCCAUCGAAAGAUGGAUUAAUACCCGAUGGCGUGGUUUCACCGCAUGGAGUUUCCACUAAAGGUUUUCCGGCCGCGGAUGAGGAUGCGUAUGAUUAGGUAGUAGGCGGGGUAACGGCCCACCUAGCCUUCGAUCAUUAGGGGUUCUGAGAGGAAGGUCCCCCACACUGGAACUGAGACACGGUCCAGACUCCUACGGGAGGCAGCAGUGAGGAAUAUUGGUCAAUGGGCGAGAGCCUGAACCAGCCAAGUAGCGUGAAGGAUGACUGCCCUAUGGGUUGUAAACUUCUUUUGUUCGGGAAUAAAGUGCAGUAUGUAUAUUGUUUUGUAUGUACCGUUCGAAUAAGCAUCGGCUAAUUCCGUGCCAGCCGCCGCAUAACAC